rnacentral:lncRNA from 1 species
UGUAUAUAAUGAUUUAUUUUUAAGAAAAUUCCGUAGCAACGCGCGGAAAAUUCACCUAGUUCUAUAUAUGAAAGUGGGGCAAUUAGGGGUUCACAAAAAAAAUUACGGGCAUAAAUUCAUAUACGCGCUUGAUAAUAUUAAAUUCUCUAUGUAACUGUAAUAUGAAGUUGCUCUAUCAAGCUCUUAAAACAUCGAGACAGAUGCUUGACUAUAAAAACACU